CGACAGGCUUAACACAUGCAAGUCGAGGGGCAGCACAGGUAGCAAUACCGGGUGGCGACCGGCGCACGGGUGAGUAACGCGUAUGCAACUUACCUAUCAGAGGGGGAUAACCCGGCGAAAGUCGGACUAAUACCGCAUGAAGCAGGGGCCCCACAUGGGGAUAUUUGCUAAAGAUUCAUCGCUGAUAGAUAGGCAUGCGUUCCAUUAGGCAGUUGGCGGGGUAACGGCCCACCAAACCGACGAUGGAUAGGGGUUCUGAGAGGAAGGUCCCCCACAUUGGUACUGAGACACGGACCAAACUCCUACGGGAGGCAGCAGUGAGGAAUAUUGGUCAAUGGCCGAGAGGCUGAACCAGCCAAGUCGCGUGAGGGAUGAAGGUUCUAUGGGUCGUAAACCUCUUUUAUAAGGGAAUAAAGUGCGGGACGUGUCCCGUUUUGUAUGUACCUUAUGAAUAAGGAUCGGCUAACUCCGUGCCAGCAGCCGCGGUAAUACGGAGGAUCCGAGCGUUAUCCGGAUUUAUUGGGUUUAAAGGGUGCGUAGGCGGCCUUUUAAGUCAGCGGUGAAAGUCUGUGGCUCAACCAUAGAAUUGCCGUUGAAACUGGGGGGCUUGAGUAUGUUUGAGGCAGGCGGAAUGCGUGGUGUAGCGGUGAAAUGCAUAGAUAUCACGCAGAACCCCGAUUGCGAAGGCAGCCUGCCAAGCCAUUACUGACGCUGAUGCACGAAAGCGUGGGGAUCAAACAGGAUUAGAUACCCUGGUAGUCCACGCAGUAAACGAUGAUCACUAGCUGUUUGCGAUACACUGUAAGCGGCACAGCGAAAGCGUUAAGUGAUCCACCUGGGGAGUACGCCGGCAACGGUGAAACUCAAAGGAAUUGACGGGGGCCCGCACAAGCGGAGGAACAUGUGGUUUAAUUCGAUGAUACGCGAGGAACCUUACCCGGGUUUGAACGCAUUCGGACCGAGGUGGAAACACCUUUUCUAGCAAUAGCCGUUUGCGAGGUGCUGCAUGGUUGUCGUCAGCUCGUGCCGUGAGGUGUCGGCUUAAGUGCCAUAACGAGCGCAACCCUUGCCACUAGUUACUAACAGGUAGAGCUGAGGACUCUGGUGGGACUGCCAGCGUAAGCUGCGAGGAAGGCGGGGAUGACGUCAAAUCAGCACGGCCCUUACAUCCGGGGCGACACACGUGUUACAAUGGCGUGGACAAAGGGAAGCCACCUGGCGACAGGGAGCGAAUCCCCAAACCACGUCUCAGUUCGGAUCGGAGUCUGCAACCCGACUCCGUGAAGCUGGAUUCGCUAGUAAUCGCGCAUCAGCCAUGGCGCGGUGAAUACGUUCCCGGGCCUUGUACACACCGCCCGUCAAGCCAUGGGAGCCGGGGGUACCUGAAGUCCGUAACCGCGAGGAUCGGCCUAGGGUAAAACUGGUGACUGGGGCUAAGUCG
rnacentral:rRNA from 1 species